CACAGAGGUCCCAAGCGUUGUUCGGAUUGAUUGGGCGUAAAGCGCACGUAGGCGGGUUCAUAAGUCGAAUGUGAAAGCCCUAGGCUCAACCUAGGAAUUGCAUCCGAAACUGUGGGUCUUGAAUACUCGAGAGGCUGGUGGAAUACCUGGUGUAGGAGUGAAAUCCGUAGAUAUCAGGUGGAAUAUCGGAGGCGAAGGCGGCCGGCUGGUGAUGUAUUGACGCUGAGGUGCGAAAGCGUGGGGAGCAAACAGG
rnacentral:rRNA from 1 species